AAUACAUACCUCCACGGUGAUUUCAGAGUUCUUCCUCAGUCCUGAGGUUUGGGAUUCCCGGUUUGUGUCAGUAGAAUUGCGAGAGUAAUAGAUACCUCCAAGGUGAUCUCCAAGUUCUUCCUCAGUCUUGAGGUUUGGGAUUCCCGGUUUGUGUCAGCACAAUUGUGAGAGUAGAGGCCCACUUCAGAUCAACGAGUGGAUCCUGUCUCAACCUAAGCUCUAAGGUUGCUUGUGCUGUUAGGGUCACAGCUACAGGCCCAGGAACCCUCUGGAAGAGGAGGUGGAAAAAGUGUAAGAGCCAAUUGGAACGGAAGACAGCAAGGAAACACGGCCUUCUAGACCCAAGAUGACCAAUGUACCUAUGAACUCACAGAGCCUGGGGCAGCAUGCACUGGACCUGCAGAGGUCUAAGCCAGAUGUGCUCUCAGCACUCAGAGGGGAACUGAACCCCAUUCUACAUUGAUAAUCCAGAAGCUUUCCCCAGUUGAUAAACUCUGUCAAAGGAAAAACUAGUUUUCUCCAAUGGAGUCUCACUGGACAUAUAAACCACCCUUAAGAGCAGGCUCCACAGCCCUGAUGGCCAACAUGCAAUGAACGUGAUGGCAUUUCUAGAGGGUUUUGUGACUCACAGUGCUUUGUCUGGGUACUUUUUUCACGCUACAGAUAUUUUUUAUAUAUAGUUUGGUCUCUAAUUGUAAGUGUCUCAGUGUCUGAGUGAGUUUCUUGUGAUUUUCUUGGGCUCUUUUUUUCCUGUAAUGCUUUGCUCAUUUUUACUUCUUCUUCUUCUCCUCCUCCCCUUCAUUUUAGAUGCCUGUUUCUAUUCUAAUGUAAGAUGAAUAAAUGGGUGUGGAUUUGGAGGGGUGAAAUAGGGGGUGGGUGAGGGGAAACUGUAAUACAAAUAUAUUAUACAAAAAUACAUUUUAAUAAAAAAGUAUUUCCUCUAUGACU
rnacentral:lncRNA from 1 species